AUGAAGGUGUCCAUUCCCACCAUAUCAGGCGCAGCUACUUCUGAGACCUCGGCCCGGGCCGAUGACCACGAGAUGGAAGAUGCAGCAACUUCGAAUCCAGCUCUACCCAACACUGUUAUCGAUCUUCCUGAUGAUGAUGAGGAUGAAGGGCCGCUGAAGCACAGGAGGAGUCGAAAAGCACCCGCCAGUAAGGUGCCUCAGGAUGUGUCAGCGCCUGAAAUUCUGACUGUGGAGGAAGAGAACACCACUCGACACACGGUGACCUUCGCGACCCCACUGACGAGUGCUCAGCAGCCCUCCCUCUUCACGACUCACCACGUCCCAGAGGACCAAGCUGGUGCAGCGAAGGAGGCAAUACGCCAGGCAGGACUCAUGAUGGAGCAGCUGAAGACAAUCCGGGAUGCGAGCCAGGCAGCUUAUGACGCCAGCUCUGCCCUCCAAAGUAAUGUCCAGGUCAGUCGACUGCUGUUUGUUCUGUUGGAUAUGCUACCAAAAACUUUUUUUUCCCGGGAUUUAUAUUAG
rnacentral:rRNA from 1 species